UGCGUAGGCGGAUUAAUAAGUCAGUGGUGAAAUCUUUCGGCUCAACCGAGAAACUGCCAUUGAUACUGUUAGUCUUGAGUUCGGUUGAGGUAGGCGGAAUGUGUAAUGUAGCGGUGAAAUGCUUAGAUAUUACACAGAACACCAAUUGCGUAGGCAGCUUACUAGACCGACACUGACGCUGAGGCACGAAAGCGUGGGGAGCGAACAGGAUUAGAUACCCUGGUAGUCC
rnacentral:rRNA from 1 species